rnacentral:rRNA from 1 species
GACGAACGCUGGCGGCGUGCUUAACACAUGCGAGUCGAACGGAAAGGCCCUGCUUUUGUGGGGUGCUCGAGUGGCGAACGGGUGAGUAACACGUGAGUAACCUGCCCCUGACUUUGGGAUAACCUCAGGAAACUGGGGCUAAUACCGGCUAGGAGCUCCUGCUGCAUGGUGGGGGCUGGAAAGUUUCGGCGGUUGGGGAUGGACUAGCGGCCUAUCAGCUUGUUGGUUGGGUAGUGGCUUACCAAGGCUUUGCCGGGUAGCCGGGCUGAGCGGGGGACCGGCCACGUUGGGACGGGAAUGCGGCCCGGACUCCAACGGGACGCAAGGGUGGGGUAGGUUGCACAAUGGGCUGAAGCCUGGUGCAGCAACGCCGCGUGCGGGAUGACGGCCUUCGGUUAGGAAUCCGCAUUCGCCUGUGACGAGGUGUGAGUGACGGUAAUGGGUGAAGAAGCACCGGCUAACUACGUG